CCAGUUUGGGGAUGAGUGUCUGGGUGUGUCUGUGACUGGCAGGAAGCGGAGCAGAGCCUCCUCGGCCGCUGGGUUUGGGCUUCUGUGUCUGUGGGGUACAGACAGCAGCUGCAGGUUGCUGGGUCCCCGGGGCCCCAGAGGCUGUCCUGGUGGUGAUGGGGAUGGGUGGAGAGCUAGGAUGACAGUUAUUUCCUUAAGGGCACUUUUCUCAGUAAAUGGAAUUGUUGUAUGGAUGACUCUGGAACAAGAAUCAACUCCGCGAGGCUUUGUUCGGGCCUCUGGAUGCUGAAGCGAGACAUCUGAGGGUCUCCAAUAAUGAGGCUACUGAAGCUCUUCCAGUGGUGAGGCAUUUUCCAUCCGUGUGACCUGCACAGUGCUUAGCAUGUCCAGCCCUUAGCAUGUAUUAGGUCACUUGGUCGUCCAGCACUCCCGUGAUGGAGGCACCACUCCUGCACACAGGGAAACUGAGGAGAAACAGCAAAAGAAAACACAGCAGGCCAGGCAAAGUGGCUCAUGCGUGUUAUCCCAGCACUUUGGGAGGCCAAGGCAGAUGGAUUUGACCCUAGGAGGCAGAGGUUGCAGUGAGCCAAGAUUGCACCACUGCACUCCAGCCUGUACGACAGAGCGAGACCCUAUAUCGAAAAAAAAAAAAAAAGAAAAAAGAAAAGAAAACACAGCAAAAUGUUCGUGGUUAACAGCACUAUGGCAUCUAGAACGAUGCCUAGAACACAGCAGGAGCUCAGCAAUUAUGUGCUGAAAGGCUACACGAUGGCAGAACGGGCUUCGCCUGCAGGGAGCUGGUACGGGACCAGACACCCAGCAUUUGGGAGGGUGGCCCAUCCCACUCCCACGGACCAAACCACCCAGAUUGCCCCAAGGAUAAAUAAACAAGACACAAGGGGACAUAGAAACCCAGGCUGAAAUGUGUGGCCUCCUUUCAGUUGAGUUCUGGGCAAUCAGCUCCUUUCCAGCCUGUGACAGGAGGUGGGUGGCUGCAGGGGGCAGCUCUGAAUCCUGACUCAUGUCAAGGGCCUGUGAGGUGAACAGUCUUGAUCCGUUCCUCCAAGGCAGACAGAGAGGAGCCAGCAAAACAAAUGCAGGAUGAGCAAGGCACAACUGGGUGUUCUCACCUGGCCCCACCUCUGCGGCUUCCACCACGCCUGGCUGGUAUGGCCACAAGACGUCCCCAACACCCAUGCCUGAGGACAGAGUACUGGCUCCAUGGUUAUUUGGACAAACACACCUUCAAAUUCCUGGUACCCCAUUGGAGAUGCCCCACAGCCCUGGCAUGUCUGAAAACCGAGCCCUUGACCUUCUCCCGCUCCAACCCUGCUGCUCCCUGGGUCUUCCACCUCUGUGAGUGGCACCUUCCUUCUCCCGGUUCUCCUGCCAGACAGCAUGAGUUCUCUCCCCUCCCAUACCCUCUUUCCCCAUAUCCUGGCUGCUCCUGCAGAUUCGACCUCCUAAAUACCUCCCAACUCUCUCCACGCCCAUGACCACCCUCCGGGUCCAAGUGUGCCUUCCUUGUCGCCUGAUUACUCCCUGCCACGACCUGGCCCUGUCCCCCAGCCUCGUCUCCAGCAGCAAUUCCUGGGCAUGGGCCCUUGCCGGGCCACCCUCGGUCCUUAUGCACACUGUUCUCCCUGCUUUGCUAGGCUACUUCCUGCUCAGCCCACAGGAGUCUGCCUUCUGGAAGACCACUGAAAUAUUCAAAAGUCAGUUGCGGACACAAUGACACGUCCCUUCUCAAUAUUUCAGCAGGUACCUUCCAAAAUCAAGGACAGUCUCCUGCAUGGCCAAAAGUCCAUUUCCAUACUCAGGAGUUUAGCUUUGAUGCAGGGAUAUUAUGUAACAUGCAAUCCAUGAUUAAAUUCUCCAAAAGACCCUGAAAGCAGCUGCUUCUUUUGCUUUAAUGCACGUUCCACUCAAGAAUCACACACUGGGGCCAGGCACUGUGG
rnacentral:tRNA from 10 species